CAUUGGCUUCGACGUCGAUUACGAACCCUUAGGUGCAUGUCGUGUGGGUAGCAACACACGUACUUCAAGUGCUGCAAAUGAUAGUUGCAAACGACGACAACUACGCUUUAGCCGCUUAAGGCUGAACCGUCCCGAGUUUUUGCUUGUGGGGAUGACAGGACGGUAACUUUACACAAGAUCGCAGCAAAGCGCGCCUGGCGCGGCGCUGUUAAAACUUAACAGGCUAGCUUGUUACUCCCUGUCUGGUCGGGCCGUAACGAGCGAAAUUAAUAGACAAGACUAAACAUGUAGAUCCUUAGGCAGAGGAUUGGCGGACGCGGGUUCGAUCCCCGCCGCCUCCACCA
rnacentral:tmRNA from 1 species